GAGUCUCCCCUAGUAGUAGCAGUGGUGGACAAACUGCUUUCUGGGCUGGCCAUGCUGGCGGUGGGAAUGACGUCAACUCCCAGGAGAGGAGGAGGAGGGAGAAUAUUCACAGGCGGAGGGGGAAGUAGUAGUUGAGUUAGAAUUGUCCGAGCAACCAGAACGUUUGUUUUUAAAGAGCCAUACCCUUCCUUGAAUCGAGCCAACAGUGGAGGCCUGCAUCAAUGGAUCACAGUGGGAAGCAGUGGCCCGUUGCAUACUAUGAGACUUGACAGUGUGGUGAGAGGGUUGGUGUGUUGCCUCAGAGCUGUAGCAAUGUCAAUGUGCCAUGUCCCUACCAACUGACGAUGAAGCAGGUAUGCAUUUGAGAUUGUGCACUCUGGAAGCAGUGUGGGUUCCUCACCUCAUCUGGUAAGACAAUUUCACAUUCUAAAUUUGUUGAGAACUUUUUGGAGUCUUUUGUUGCACUUCCUGUCUCUGUUAAAAACAUGUUUUCUUUAUAGGAUGUGUCUAACCUGCAGUCUACUGCAGGGCAAGUGGAAUUUUGUCUCUGAAACACAAAAUGUACAUACGCAAUUUUGUGCAAAAUGUGUAAACCCCUUUUCCACAGAACAGAUUGACACUGAUGGGUUGCGAGGAUCAAAUAGGAAGCUACUGUGCUGCACUUAACAAUGUUCUGAAGUAUAUUCUCCCCAAGAUAAAAGCAUCUUUGCCUGAACCAAAGGGAGGACAGCUCCACAAAUUGCAGCCAGGAGAUUGGGUGGUCAUCAAGGACCUCCGCAGAAAGACUUGGCACCAACAGCGCUAGACUGGUCCAUUCCAGGUGCUCCUGACGGUGCAGAGAGGUCGACGUGGGUUCAUGCCAGCCACUGCAGGAAGGUGCCCCACAACCCAGACGAAGAUGUACCAGCAGAUUAAUCGUCAAAGGCGACCCCAGUGGCCAUGGGAGGACCAGGACCGGACUCUACGCAUCAUGUUUGUUGCUUUUGUGGUCAGUCUUCUCGUUGCAGCUGUUGUAUAGGCACUGGGAGAAGUGGCAACAAUGCAAUUGAAGAAUACCAGCAUAGUCCCACGGUGGGACUUAAAUAACAGCCGCUCCAGCUCGAGCCAACGGCAGGCUCAGCCAGCAAAAAUAGCCGCCGCAUUGUUUAAGAGGACUGAGAUCGACGCAUCAACGUGAUGAGUGUCCUCUUUGUACAGAUGAAGAGUGUACUACUGUAUAACUUUUUAAUUGUCUAAAUGAUACCCUUAAGAAUUUUUUGCACCAUGUGAAGGUGAAGUUAAUUGGAAAGUUGAUUAGAAUUUUUUUUUUCAAAUUUUAAAUUAUUUGGACUGAUUAAGAUUUAGCAAAAGUGAAAACGAAUUAAAUGUUUAUGUUAUGAAAAUGUGUUAAUGGUGUUAAUACCGUGUUUGAUUUAUUGUUGUGUUUUUUGGUUUAGUUGAUUUUUCACAGGUUAUAAAUGAUACACCUUAAAGGGCACAUAAAUGACAUUUUCUGAAGUUUCUAUUGCCAGAGUUUUGGUUGCACACAUGUAAAUUAUCCUGAUAACAAAUGUACUGAAAAACCCAAUGUAAACCUGGUACACAAAUUGUCUGAAAUGUCUUUAACUAAUGUCUGACGGUCCAGGGUAAACACUAAUGAUUAGAAAAAAGUUUAUAAUUUAACAAUAGUCCUAUGUGUGAUUCGGACCAUGACAAGGACAGAGUAUCGAUAUUGCUGCUCAUCCUCAUGUUGAGGUUUUACUGCAAUAUGUCUUAAAACUGGAACCAAAUUCAAGGCCAAAUGUAAUGUUAAAUGUUGCCCUGGCCAGAAUACAGUAUAUGAAGGAUUAGCUGAGCUACCUUUUACUGCUGAGGACAGUGAUGUUUGACCUGUUGCAUACUUAGAAAUGCACCUGUUGUAGACAGAGGUUCGCUCACAGGGUCGGCUCAGUAGGAGUGGAAUAUUGGCUGAACGCCCAGACUCUGUGAUUGCCAGGUGUUCUCUCCUAAGCAGCCGCACUCUGGGAGCAAACGCUUUACUGAGAAAUAAUCCAGUUGGCUAUCUUUGUUAUACCUAAUCAUCAGCAGACACUGGCAAGUUAGAACUGUAUAUGGUAUGUGUAGAAGAUAAACAG